GCACAAGCGGUGGAGCAUGUGGUUUAAUUCGACGCAACGCGAAGAACCUUACCUGGGCUUGAACCGCUGGUAGUAGAAUCCUGGAAACAGGAGACGACCCGUAAAGUCGGAUGCCAGUAGAGGUGCUGCAUGGUUGUCGUCAGCUCGUGUCGUGAGAUGUUGGGUUAAGUCCCGCAACGAGCGCAACCCCUAUCCCAUGUUGCCAAUCCCGCAAGGGAUGCACUCUUGAGAGACUGCCUCGGAUAACGGGGAGGAAGGUGGGGACGACGUCAAAUCAUCAUGGCCUUUAUGUCCAGGGCAACACACGUGCUACAAUGGCCGGCACAAUAGGAUGCAAUACCGCAAGGUGGAGCAAACCCCUAAAGUCGGCCCCAGUUCAGAUUGUGGGCUGCAACUCGCCCACAUGAAGUCGGAAUCGCUAGUAAUCGCAGAUCAGCAGGCUGCGGUGAAUACGUUCCCGGGC
rnacentral:rRNA from 1 species